UCAAAAACCACAAAGGCCUUGGUUACAGCUUACCCUUGUUUUUGAUCAACAAUAACAUGACUGAUGUCACUAUGGCUCAACUCAACCACAAACAUGGAUUCAGGAAGUUCUGGAGAUGGGCUGGGGGCUAGUGGAGAUGACCAGCUGGAGAUUCGGCUCCUUGGAGAGACAGUGGUUGGCUGGACCUGAGCUCCAGAGGAAGGAGGGACACUUGGAACAAAAAGGAAAUAUUGCUCUGAUCUCACCAAAAGGAGACUGAAACACUGCCAACCAGGGACAGGAGCUUCCUGAGUAGGAGCUGAGGCCUCUGUGCGGCAAUUUAGUGAGAGCAUAGCUGGUGAGAGAACCAUGUGAAAAACACGUGAGUCUCCAGCUAGAAGAGGGGAUUAGGAGACCCGUGUCUGUAGAUGUACCCAUGGCUUAUGGAGCUUGGAGAAACGUGGGCUUACUAACAUCCUAAAGCAAGCCCUGCCUGCCAAGUCUUCAUAUAGAAAGUGCUUCUUCUAGGGACAGUCAGUCCCAGGUUGGCUCUUCAGGCUUGGACAGGUUUGCUUCAAAUUUCUGUUCUUUGUGGACAUAGGUCAUCAACUUCUUGUUGGGCAAAGACAACAACAGACAUGUCCAAGUUCAGCCUCAGGAACCACCUUGGAUGGCAGAAGCUGGCCCUCGAAGCUUCCCUAACAAAUAACAGCAAUUCUCGAGAGUCCUCACGCACACAAGAUAAUGCUUUAGCAGUCAACAGGGGCUCUCAACUCUGGAAUAAAUGACGUCCACUUGGUCA